GGGGGCGCGCUUGGGCAACGGACGCAGGGUGCGCGCUCCGCGUUCCGGUUCCGGUUCCGACCCGGCGAGGAGGAGGCGUGCGUGCCCGGCCGGCAGAGGUGUCCCCUCGUCACUGGGUGUCCGGCUGCUUCCCGCCUGCGCAGUGACUGCCUGCCCUCUCCCUGCCCCAGGUGCCUCCUGCCGCCUUGCGUCGGCGAUGCUGCCCCACGUGGGGAGGUUCCCAGUCCGGUGCCUGCUCUGCGCCCUGGCCUCCUGCCGCCGGGCUCCCUGGAGACCCCGAGGAAGCAGCGCCCUGCACACGGCCCCGGCAUUGCGCUCGGACGGGAGCGGCCCGGUCUUCACCCGCGCCCUGGCCUUCGGGGACCGGAUCGCCCUCGUGGACCAGCACGGCCGCCACACGUACGCGGACCUGUACUCCCGCAGUCUCCGCCUGUCCCGCGAGAUCUGCGCGCUCCGCGCCUGCGCCGACGGGGACCUCCGGGAGGAGCGGGUCUCCCUGCUGUGCGCCAACGACGCCUCCUACGUGGUGGCGCUGUGGGCCACGUGGAUGAGCGGCGGCGUCGCCGUGCCCCUCUACCGGAAGCACCCCCCGGCCCAGCUGGAGUACUUCAUCCGGGACUCCCGCAGCUCCGUGGUCCUGGCCGGCCCGGAGCACGCGGGGGUGCUGGGCCCGGUGGUCGGGAAGCUGGGGGUCCCGCUCCUGCCUCUCUCGCCCGAGGUCUACCUGGGGGCGGCCGAGGCCCCCGGGGCGGGGCGGGUGCCGGAGCGGGACUGGAGAAAGCGAGCCGCCACCAUCAUCUACACCAGCGGGACCACGGGGAGGCCCAAGGGCGUUCUGAGCACCCAUCGCAACCUCGAGGCCGUGGUGACGGGGCUGGUCCGCAAGUGGGCCUGGACUCAGGACGACGUGAUCCUCCACGUCCUCCCGCUGCACCACGUCCACGGCCUGGUCAACAAGCUGCUGUGUCCGCUCUGGGUCGGGGCCGCCUGCGUGAUGCUGCCUGAGUUCAGCGCCCAGCAGGUUUGGGAGAAGUUCUUAAGUCCGGAAGCUCCCCGGGUCAACGUGUUCAUGGCCGUGCCCACCAUCUACAGCAAGCUGAUGGACUAUCACGACAGGCACUUCACCCAGCCGCACGUCCGGGAUUUCGUGCGCGCCGUUUGCGAAGAGAAAAUCAGGUUGAUGGUCUCAGGCUCGGCCGCGCUGCCCCUGCCGGUGCUGGAGAAGUGGGAGGGCGUCACCGGGCACACGCUGCUGGAGCGCUACGGCAUGACGGAGAUUGGCAUGGCCCUGUCCAACUCGCUGACCACGCGCCUGCCAGGCUCCGUGGGCACCCCGCUGCCCGGCGUUGAGGUGCGGAUUGUCUCGGGAAACCUGCAGAAGGACGGCUGCCCCUGUAUCGUCCAUGCGGAAGGAAACGAGAGGGACACUGAGUCUUCCCGGCGUUUGCAGGCGUCAUUUGCGCUCUGGCUGAAGAACACUGUCGGUCAGAUCUGCUGGCAAGGAACCCUCGUCUUUCGCCCUCCCCUGAGCAUGUGCCUCAUUUGCUGUCAUCCCUGGGCGUUCUCGUCGCGGGCUUUGGAAUUCCGCACGGCGGUUACCUCGGUGACCCCGGGGUUCGAGGAGAAGGAGGGGGAGCUGCUGGUCAGGGGGCCGUCCGUGUUCCGGGAGUACUGGGACCAGCCAGAAGAAACGAGAAGCGCCUUCACCUCGGAUGGCUGGUUCAAAACAGGUGACACGGCCGUGUUCAGGGACAGCAGCUACUGGAUCCGCGGCCGCACGUCUGUGGACAUCAUCAAGAGCGGCGGCUACAAGGUCAGCGCUCUGGAGGUGGAGCGGCUCCUGCUGGGUCACCCCAGCAUCACGGACGUGGCUGUGAUCGGAGUUCCAGACAUGACGUGGGGCCAGCGGGUCACGGCAGUGGUGACCCUUCAAGAGGGACACUCACUGUCCCACAGGGAGCUCAAAGAGUGGGCCAGGUGUGCCUGGGCGGGCAGGGCCGGGGAGGGGGCCUGAGGUUGGCUUCGUGGUCUCUGUGGAACUGCAGCUCCACGGAGGGCCCUGGGGGAGCUGCAUGGUGACAGCAGGUGCAGGUGUGGGGCCCAGUCACACCUACACCCAAGGGCCACCAGCAACAGAGGAACCAGGGGUUGCGUGUGUCUCAGAGGCUGGUUCCGAGGUGACGGGUCCCGCGCUGAGCGAGUGCGUCCUGUCCCCGGUGUAGACGGACCCUGUUGGGGAAGGUCCAGAGCAGCGUGAUCCUGAUGUGGGCUGAGCAAGCUGGGGUGCCCCCGCCAUGUCCUCGAUGCUCCCAGCGCCUGCUCUGAACACAGGCUCCUGCCUUUGGGGCUCUGGCCACAGACUCCGCCACCCUCACGUCCUCUUUGCGUCUUUGGUGGCUUGAACUCCCCUCACCCUGAACCUCCCCCAGAGGCCCUCCUGCCCGUCCUUGGUCCCCGGUCCCAGGGCCCGGCCUGAACCUCUGUGCUUGUCGGGGGCUGGACAGGACGAGGGUGGCGCUCUGACCCGCAGCGGCUGAGAGAGGAGCCGAUGGGAACAUCUCCAGGUUCCUUUGGGUCUGAGAGGCCCCUCCUGCCUCGCCCCGCUCCCUGCACCCCGGCUGGACCUGCGUCCCCCUUCUCCUUGGUGCUGAAGGAGGGAGACUUCCCGAACAGCAGGAACCCUGUUUGUCAGGGCUGCACUGCCGGGCAGGUCAACUCCCCUGGGAUUGCAGAGUCACAGGGGAUGCUGCGGUUUCAGAGGCGCCGAGAGUUCGCGGGUCAGCUCUGCGGCUUCACUUAAACCCUUGCUCUGUUCCUGUUAAGAACCCGAGGCGGAGUUCCCGUCGUGGCGCAGUGGUUAACGAAUCCAACUAGGAACCAUGAGGUUGUGGGUUUGAUCCUUGGCCUUGCUCCGUGGGUUAAGGAUCCAGCAUUGCCGUGAGCUGUGGUGUGGGUCACAGGCGCGGCUUGGAUCCUGCGUGGCUGUGGCUGUGGUGUAGGCCGGCGGCUGCAGCUCUGAUUCGACGCCCAGCCUGGGAACCUCCAUAUGCCACGGGAGCGGCCCAAGAAAAGGCAAAAAGAGAAAAAAAACAAAACAAAACCCGAGGCACCUGCGAGGACCCAGGUUCACUCCCGGGCCUCGGACACCCACGUGCCCUAGGGGUGGCCGUCAAAGAAAAGCCAGGGCAUUUCCCUGCGGCUCAGCGGGCUCAGAACCCGACCCGUGUCCGUGAGGAUCCGUGUUCUUCCCAGCCUCGCCAGAGGCGUCCUAGCCCCGUACGCGGUGCCCUCGGAGCUCCUGCUGGUGGAGGAGAUUCCUCGGAACCAGAUGGGCAAGGUGAACAAGCGGGAGCUCGUCAGGCAGUUCUACCCGGGCGCCCCCGAGGCCGGGCGCCCGUGACCACAGCCGUUCUCCCUGCCCGGGCCUUGGGGCCGCGGCCACAGCGAGCAGCCCUGCAGGUCCGGAGGUGUCGCUGGGGUAGCAGGUCUCCCCAGGGAACGCAAUAAAGGCUCCAUGGAGAAGCUAACGCCGUCCCGGUCCCGUGCUCGCGUGCGAGGCUCGUGGGGCCGCGUCUCCCUGGACUCGGAGGCGGGACCCUGGCGGCCGAGGAGGGUGUUUGCCGGCUCGGGAGGCUCGUGGCGGUGGGCGCCUGUCCCUGCGGCCCUGGUGGCUCACCAGGCCUUCCAGGCUAGGGCGUAGCUCCGGUGCCAGAGGGGAGGAGGCGGAGUGCCCCUCGGCCACCGAAGGGGACGCCCUGGGACUGAAAGGGGCCCAUGUGUUUCCUGUUGCGGCUGCAGCUGGCAUCCCGCUGUGCUCACACGGCGUCCUGAGCGCUCACGGUAGCCAGCGGCUGACCACGAAUGGCUCUGCCGCUGCACUUCCUGCCUGCAGGUAACGCUCCCUGGGCGGUGAAGACCGUGGGAAAGGCCGAGCCGUGGAGAGGCUUGGCGAGUGUCUCCAGGACAGGGGCCUACCCAGAACCAUGCCUUUCCCAGCCUGGGAGGGGUGGGAGCACAGGCCGGACGCGGCCCCAGGGGCCUGGGCGAGCAUCCUGUGACCCAUGGCCCCCAAGGCCACGCAGGCCCGUUACCCUGGGACUGGGCCACAGGCUGGUCAGCCUCUGCCCACCCCACAGGCUCCUCAGGGACUGCCCGCCUCUGACCCCUGACCCCAGGUACACCCGGCUCCUGGGCCUCUGCUGACGCCAGGGCUUUCCAUGGGCCUAACGCGUGCAGGCACGUGAGGUGCAGGCACGUGGGGCUGGGUCUCCACCCCCACGUGUGUGUGCCAGCAGCUGUGUGUGUGGGUUUCCAUGCAGGCUUCUGGACACAGUCUCCCCACGCCUGGGGACAUGCCUGUAGGGUGGCAGCAUAGCACCCCACCCACCUUCACAUUUCUCCACACGGUGCCCCCCGUGCCCCCCACCCCCACUGACUGGCAGCACACGAUACACAGCCUUGGUCACUGUAACGGCUGCGGCCCUUAGGCCAUUAGUCUGUCCCCCCCCAUCAAGCCCUUCAGGCGACCGCGUCCUUGCGGUAUCAGCCCCGUCCCUCAGCACCCGCGAGCUGGGGCGAGGCCGGCGAGGCACCUGACCGGCGGGAGUGGCUGCCUCGUGCACCACAUGCGUGCAAACAGGGCAGGACAUGGGGCGAGUCCACACGUGUGCACUCCAUCCUGUACAGACACACCACUCAGACACGUACAGACACAGACACCUGCACGUACGAAGGGACACAGGCAGAGACACGCACACGUAUAUACCCGUGCGGGGCCACAUACACAUGCCUGCCGGUGCACACGUACCUGGAUGUAGAGACAUGGAAUCACACAAACUGCACACCUGGACACGGAAGUGUCCAUAAACAGCCCAGUCUGGGCUCCGAAGCCCAGGGGUCAGCGGGUCUGGCCCCCACUCCCUGGUCAGUAGGUGGGGUCCACAGAGCCCCGUGUGUCCUGAGGCUCCUCGCAGCCCUAGAGCGUGGAAUCAACCGAGGACAGAUUAAGCAUGUCUUAAGUCGCUCAACACCGAGGACAGAAGAGGGGCGCCUGACCACUGUGUGUCCUGCCAAGGGGCUCUUUCUCAAGAUGAAAACACAGCAGCUGGUGCCUCCCCCCAAGCCUGCCUCCUGGGAGGUAAACACGGGCAGGGGCUGAGCGGUGGCGGUGUGAUGGUUUUACGGGCGCCAGGUGCGCCCCCGCAGCACCAUCAUUGGCAAAGUGGCCUCCCCACAUCACUUCCUGUGUGCAGGUGCAGAAAUUUGUCCAGAAAACACUCCUGGGUGGUGCAGUUACAGGAUUUCAGGCUCCGCUGUAUGAUCGGCUGGAGGUCCAGCCCCAUUCUUGCAAAAGCAGUGGUGCCCGUGUCGCCCGGCCUGCCAGCCCCUUCCCUCUCCUCCAAGCCAGGCAAGAACAGAGUGGUGGUCUUCGCCUUUGGGCUGGGUCUGAAGUGGAGUCUCUUUGUCUCCACUUGCACUUCCCUGAUUAUUAACUAGGCGGGAUCUUUUGAAAAGUUUACUGGCCAUUUGGGUUUUUAUUCUGUGAACUGCCUCUUCAUGUUCUUUGCCCAUUUUCUGCUUGGGUGUGGAUAAUUUUCUUGAUUGUGCAUUGCUUACGUGGCUGGCCUGCUAGUGGUAGCUAUUGGCGUGCAGAAUUUGAAAGUGUUAAUAUCUUCAA